GAGGGUAUAGCUCAAGUGGUAGAGCUCAUGCUUAACAUGCAUGAGGUCCUGGGUUCAAUCCCCAGUACCUCCU
rnacentral:tRNA from 1 species